rnacentral:rRNA from 1 species
AGAACGAACGCUGGCGGCAUGCCUAACACAUGCAAGUCGAACGAGACCUUCGGGUCUAGUGGCGCACGGGUGCGUAACACGUGGGAAUUUGCCUCGGGGUAUGGAAUAACUCAGGGAAACUUGAGCUAAUACCAUAUAAUGUCUUCGGACCAAAGAUUUAUCGCCCUGAGAUAAGCCCGCGUAGGAUUAGCUAGUUGGUGAGGUAAAGGCUCACCAAGGCGACGAUCCUUAGCUGGUCUGAGAGGAUGAUCAGCCACACUGGGACUGAGACACGGCCCAGACUCCUACGGGAGGCAGCAGUGGGGAAUAUUGGACAAUGGGCGAAAGCCUGAUCCAGCAAUGCCGCGUGAGUGAUGAAGGCCUUCGGGUUGUAAAGCUCUUUUACUCGGGACGAUAAUGACGGUACCGAGAGAAUAAGCCCCGGCUAACUCCGUG